AACCACUGGUGAACAGGAAGCUCACCAGGAUCAAGGAUGAUCGACCGUGAAAGGAUACUGCUGACAGGGAGUUGGAACGGUAUGGACAAAGAACCCGCUUCGGCGGGUUUUUU
rnacentral:sRNA from 1 species